UCUGUUUACCUAAUAUAAAACCCAUCUCCAUCCUUUUCAAGACUCCAGGUUCUCUUUCUAGCACCGAACAUGAUCUAAACCUUACCAUGUGCCCUGAAUAGCUGAUGAUUUUUUGACCCUGCCUUUACAUGAAACUAUGAUGGAGGCACUGACAAGAAUCACAGGAAGCUCUGCUGGGAGGAGCCUGAUACCGCACUGAGGAGGUGCCAGAGAAAUGGAAGUAGAGAAACAGGCAGAAACACCAAGCAAUGAGGUCUGUUGCCCAGGCUUGGCUUUGCCAAGCUCUCAACCUUUGGGUUAUGUGGCAGAUAACAGUGAUUCUUCAGCUUUGUUUCAUGGGAAGGAUGUUCCAGAGCUCAGAGGUGUUGAGCCUGACAGUGGUGAUGGCCAGGAGGAAGCUGGCUGGCCAGUACAUGGCCUCUGUUGGCACGUCUUUGUUGGAGCAUUAGGCUCAAGAGCAGCCCUUGCAAGGUGAAAAUCUGAAGACAAAGUGGUCAAAACUAUAGCAGAAGACAGAAUCAUUUAAACUAAGUCCAUUCUGGGUCAAUGUGUGUUCUCCCCACACCAGGUUCUCCUGAACCCAGUGGCAAGCUAUAAGAGCUGUGGAUCAUUGCACUGUGGGAACACAGGCUGUUUUAACAUAAUAAAGCUUUCUAGCUGCUCUAA